rnacentral:ncRNA from 1 species
GAUGAACAAUGUAGGCAAGGAAGUCGGCAAAAAUGAUCCGUAACCUGGAAAAGGAUUGCUCUGAGGCUGGCACGGGGUCCCUGUCCCGAAACCCGUCGGCUGUCGGUGACUGCUCGAGCUGCUUCCGCGGCGAGAGCGUCACCGCGUCCGCCGGGACGACUGAACGCCUCUUCGGGCCUCCCCGGGCGUCGAACACCAACUCAGAACUGGUCGGACAAGGAAUCCGAUGUUUAAUAAAACAAAGCAUGCGAUGGUCCCUGCGGAUGCUAACGCAAUGUGAUUUCUGCCCAGUGCUCUGAAUGUCAAAGUGAAGAAUUCAACCAAGCCGGUAAACGCGGAGUAACUAUGACUCUCUUAAGUAGUCAAAUGCCUCGUCAUCUAAUUAGUACGCCAUUGAAUGGAUUAACGAGAUUCCACUGUCCCUUCUACUAUCCAGCAAACCACAGCCAAGGGAACGGGCUUGCAAAUCAGCGGGGAAAGAAGACCCUGUGACUGACUCUAGUCCGACUUUGAAAGACUUAAUAUAAAUGGACCCCGGCAAAGUAAAUACCACUACUUAACGUAUUACUUAUCCGGAAUCGGAAGGCAACGCCCUCUUUGACCCAAGCCGCCUCCGGUCAUCCGGCGGAAACAUGUCAGGUGGGAUUGCUGGGCCACAUCUUAAAAAUAACCAGGUCCAAAUGACUCAACGAAACAAAAUCUCGUUAAACAGAAGGUAAAACCUUAUUCGAUUCCAUACGAAACGAACCGUAAAGCGCCUAACAUCCUUAACCUCGAAUUGAACUAAGUCAAAAAGUACCACAGAUAACGCUUGCACCAACGUCAUAGCGACGUGCUUUGAUCCUCGAUUCGCUCUCCUACAUGUAACAGAAUUCACCAAGUGAUGUUCACCCACCAAUAGGAACGUGACUGGUAACCGUCGUGAACAGUAUUUACCCUACUGAUAAGUUCGCAAUAGUAAUUCAACCUAGUACGAAGAACCGUUGAUCCACAAUGUCACGCGCUGGUUAAAAGCCAUGCCGAAGCACCGUCGCUGGAUAGACGAACCCUCUAAUCAAAUCCGGGCUAGAACACCGUGCCCGCG